rnacentral:rRNA from 1 species
UGGGGAAUAUUGCGCAAUGGGCGGAAGCUGACGCAGCGACGCCGCGUGGGGGAUGACGGCCUUCGGGUUGUAAACCUCUUUCAGCAGGGACGAAGCGAAAGUGACGGUACCUGCAGAAGAAGCACCGGCCAACUACGUG